AUUAUCUUGGAGUUGCAUCUUUAUUUGAUAUUCUUUCAUUUCUGUUAUCAUGUUAUUGAUUUCAAUUUUGAAUUUUUCAAACAGAGAGGCAAAUGCAUCUUCAAAAAAAGCCUUUGUAACAGUCUGGUCUUUUUCUGUAUUAGUUGGGAGAUUUUUUUGUACUGCUUCUUGCAUGUUGAUUAUACGUUCUUCCAAAUCAUUCCCCUCUGAAUUUGAUUUAUUUGUUUGGGGGGAAAAAAAAGGAGAGUCGCU